UAUAANUAAGCAGAGGNAAAGAAACCAACUAGGAUUGUCACAGUAAGGGCGACUGAAGUGUCAAAAGCUCAAGAUUUAAAUCAGACAUUCUUGUCUGAGUUGUGGUCUAAACUCUUUUGCAUUGUCUGAAAAAUCAAAGUUUCUUGGAAGAGGACAGCAAAGAAGGUGAAACUCCUGUUUGAUUGGGAGGAGCUGUGAAAGAGAAAGAGUCGAGUUGUUUGGGAUUUCAGCUCUAAGAUGGUGGUAAAUUUUAUCGAAAGCUAAAUAUUUAUGAAAAACCGAUAGUGUACAAGUACCGUGAGGGAAAGAUGCAAAGAACUUUGAAAAGAGAGUUAAAGAGUACCUGAAAUUGUUGAAAAUGAAGCACAUGAAACUAGUGAUAAGCUGAAACAUUUUUCUUUGUUUGCUUGCAUUCAAGGCAUUGUGUCCAGUGAUGUAGAUCUUAGCUUUUGCAACCAACGGAGUUUAUGCUGUUUUGAUUGCGUUCACUAAGGUAAACAAAAUANUUUUAUUUGCCCCGUCUAGAAACACGGACCAAGGAGUCUAACAUAUGUGCAAGUACAUUGUUGAGAACCAAUUGUGCAAAAUGAAAGUGAGAAUGGCUAGAAUACAAAUUCAUAGUCCACCGGCCAUAAUCCCUCGGGAUAGUGGUCUGAGUGUGAGCAUGUAUGUUGGGACCCGAAAGAUGGUGAACUAUGCUUGAGUAGAGCAAAGCCAGGGGAAACUCUGGUGGAGGCUUGUAGCGAUUCUGACGUGCAAAUCGAUCGUCGAACUUGAGUAUAG
rnacentral:rRNA from 1 species